UCUAAAUUAAGAUGUGGGAAUUUGCUGCUGACUUUUUGGUUUGGAUUUUGUAGAUCCAUGAGGAGAAUUUGUUGGGUAUUUGUUGGUCCAAUCCUUCAAAUCAAAUUAAUUCCCCUCAAUUAGUACUAGUACUAAAUAUUUCUAGCUUGUACAUUAGAAUGUCGGUAUAACCUAAAAAAAUCUUCAGUCAAUUUAAUAGGAAUCCAUUAUUUGUUAUAUAAGAAUAUCUUAAGUUGUUAGUCUUGUUUCUACCUUUAAUUAGUGAAAUAAUAACUAGUAAUAUGUUAGGCAUUGAGUAAAGGGAAUCCAUGAUAGAUUAUCAUGUAAAAAUUUAGAAUUUAAUUGCCUAAUUUGUUCUCCUGCUUCGAGAAUCCCUUCGCUAGAAAGAAGAAGACCCCCACCUCGUUGUUCCCUUCGAUCGCUCCUUGCUGCAGGGUUGUGCAUCUCAUUGGGAAACCGCAAAGGAACAUAUAAGAGCAUGAGUAAGGAGACAUGAAUACAUCUCUUUCCUUAUGUACAUUGCGUUAAUUCCCGCUCAUGUUGACAUCAUGAUGCAGCGAUGGAUCCAGGAUGCCCCCCUACCGGUUCACUUUACACUGCUCAUGCAAAGUCUCUCUGGCAAGAUUCAGUAAGGAAUUUCCGGCGAGAAACUCCAUGGCUGACUGACAAACCCUAGACAGCCGUAGAAAAAAAAAAUAAUUCUUUUGAAGAAACAAGAAAAGAUCCUGAAAACAAUAGAGAAGAUGAAAAGAUGUUACAUUGCAAUAAUGUGGUGGGAGCCCUUUCCGGAGCAUUUUGUUGGAUUUGUGAGGAAGCAUAUGUUGGGUAUGGGGAAUAGGAGCAAUGUCCGCCAAAUGGUGAAAUGGGGGGUCUCGAAGAGCAUUGAAGGCCUCCACAAGUUACUCGAAAAAGCAAAAGGCUCGCCAUUGAGCGCCGCUAUAUAUUUUG